GCUCGCCUCUGCGUCCAGGGCCUUAGUUAGACAGUGGCCGUGACCUUCAGAGAGAGGGAGACUGGCCUUUGCCACUCGGGUUUUGGCGGGAGCAGAGCAGGGCUGUGUUGCCACCAGCUUUGGCAGCCCAUUCCCACGCAGGACCUUGGCCCCUGACAGCUUAUUCCUAUCCUGAACAGCUGAAGCUGACGUUUCCUGCGGAGCCUGGACAAGGCAGUCAAAGUGAUGCCCGUUUACUUGUGUUUCCCGUCAAGCCAAA